AGACGUCUACAUUAGAUACCCGGGUAGUCCCAGCCCUAAACGAUGCGCGUUAGGUGUAUCGGUGACCACGAGUCACCGAGGUGCCGAAGGGAAACCGUGAAACGUGCCGCCUGGGAAGUACGGUCGCAAGGCUGAAACUUAAAGGAAUUGGCGGGGAGCACCACAACGGGUGGAGCCUGUCGGUUUAAUUGGACUCAACGCCGGGAAGCUCACCGGAUAAGACAGCGGAAUGAUUGCCGGGCUGAAGACCCUGCAUGACCAGCUG
rnacentral:rRNA from 1 species